UACAGAGGUCUCAAGCGUUGUUCGGAUUCAUUGGGCGUAAAGGGUGCGUAGGCGGCGCGGUAAGUCGGAUGUGAAAUCUCGGAGCUUAACUUCGAAACUGCAUUCGAUACUGCCGUGCUUGAGGACUGGAGAGGAGACUGGAAUUUACGGUGUAGCGGUGAAAUGCGUAGAUAUCGUAAGGACCACCUGCGGCGAAGGCGGGUUGCUGGGCCGACACUGACGCUGAGGCGCGAAAGCCAGGGGAGCGAACGGG
rnacentral:rRNA from 1 species